UACAGAGGAUGCAAGCGUUAUCCGGAAUGAUUGGGCGUAAAGCGUCUGUAGGUGGCUUUUUAAGUCCGCCGUGAAAUCCCAGGGCUCAACUCUGGACAGGCGGUGGAAACUACCAAGCUGGAGUACGGUAGGGGCAGAGGGAAUUUCCGGUGGAGCGGUGAAAUGCGUAGAGACCGGCAAGAACACCAACGGCGAAAGCACUCUGCUGGGCCGACACUGACACUGAGAGACGAAAGCUAGGGGAGCGAAUGGG
rnacentral:rRNA from 1 species